GGCAUUGAUAGUAUGGAAGCAAAGACAUGACAAGGAUUGUGAGGAGGUGAUGCACGUGCUGAAAGGUUCCUUGGCUUUCUCUGGAAAUCUGUGUGCACAGGGAACUUGCCGUGUUGUCCCUGUGGCUUAAUUUAGGUUGAGGAAAGCUGUGAGGACGUUAAAGGUAAGAGUUUCUGAACAGAGACUGCCAUAAGGUGUGAGGAUAAAAGAAUUCUCCAACUGCAUUAUUUUCUUCUUUGUAUUAUGAACACACUGCAGCAAAUCUGAAAUGUAUAGGAAAUCAAAG